AAUCACAUAUGGGUGAAUGUAUUCACCCAUAUGUGAUAUGAAAUCACACGAGGUGAAUUAAUUCACCCAUAUGUGAUU
rnacentral:miRNA from 1 species